AUUGAACGCUGGCGGAAUGCUUUACACAUGCAAGUCGAACGGCAGCACGGGGGCAGCCCUGGUGGCGAGUGGCGAACGGGUGAGUAAUACAUCGGAACGUGCCCGGUCGUGGGGGAUAAUGUAGCGAAAGUUACGCUAAUACCGCAUACGAUCUGAGGAUGAAAGCGGGGGACCUUCGGGCCUCGCGCGAUCGGAGCGGCCGAUGUCAGAUUAGGUAGUUGGUGGGGUAAAGGCCUACCAAGCCGACGAUCUGUAGCUGGUCUGAGAGGACGACCAGCCACACUGGGACUGAGACACGGCCCAGACUCCUACGGGAGGCAGCAGUGGGGAAUUUUGGACAAUGGGCGCAAGCCUGAUCCAGCCAUUCCGCGUGCAGGACGAAGGCCUUCGGGCUGUAAACUGCUUUUGUACGGAACGAAAAGGCUCUGGCUAAUACCUGGGGCUCAUGACGGUACCGUAAGAAUAAGCACCGGCUAACUACGUG
rnacentral:rRNA from 1 species